UCAGGACUCUCUCCACCCCUCCCCUUCUCUCACCUUCCUGCGAUUCAGCGCGAGGUGGCCCAGGCCCAGCAGGCCCAACCAGCGCACGGUGGGCUCAGGGUCUCCCUGCCAGCACCUGGCCAGCAACGAGUCUCUUCCUGAUAUGACUUCCUGGGGCCCCUCCUUACCUGGCCAGCAGCAGGACACCCUCCAGGUGGGUGUGGGCUCCCACCAGCCUCCUCCAGCCUCCUGCCUGCUCCAUGCAUGUGACCACCAUGCGGCCUCCAUCCCCGAGCCCGCGUGGCCUGUGGAGCAAGUGGCCCAGUUAGGCCUGGGGCCCGUCCAGAGCUUCACUGGGCAGCAGAGGGACAGGCGUGCCGUCGACAGGAUGGGGACUAAGCCUCAGACAUGCGUGGGACAUUCCAGGAGCAGUUACCUAGGUGCAAACUCCCUGUCCCCACCCUCUUCCCUCCCCUCUCCACCUCUUCU